rnacentral:rRNA from 1 species
CCUACGGGAGGCUGCAGUGAGGAAUAUUGGUCAAUGGUCGGGAGACUGAACCAGCCAAGCCGCGUGAGGGAGGAAGGUACAGAGUAUCGUAAACCUCUUUUGUCAGGGAACAAAGACUGGGACGCGUCCCCGGAUGAGGGUACCUGAAGAAAAAGCAUCGGCAAACUCCGUGCCAGCAGCCGCGGUAAUACGGAGGAUGCGGUCGUUAUCCGGAUUUAUGGGGUUUAAAGGGUGUGCAGGCGGUCUGUUAAGUCAGCGGUCAAAGCCCGGGGCUCAACCCCGGCCCGCCGUUGAAACUGGCAGUCUCGAGUUGGAGAGAAGUAUGCGGAAUGCGCGGUGUAGCGGUGAAAUGCAUAGAUAUCGCGCAGAACUCCGAUUGCGAAGGCAGCAUGCCGGCUCCACACUGACGCUGAGGCACGAAAGCGUGGGUAUCGAACAGGAUUAGAUACCCCAGUAGUC